GCCCUUGUGAUGGAAUUGGUAGACGUAGGGGACUCAAAAUCCCCCGGUAGCGAUACCGUGCCGGUUCGAGUCCGGCCAGGGGCA
rnacentral:tRNA from 1 species